rnacentral:misc_RNA from 1 species
GAAAUGCGAUAAGUAAUGUGAAUUGCAGAAUUCAGUGAAUCAUCGAAUCUUUGAACGCACAUUGCGCCCGCCAGUAUUCUGGCGGGCAUGCCUGUUCGAGCGUCAUUUCAACCAUCAAGCCCCCGGCUUGUGUUGGGGACCUGCGGCUGCCCGCAGGCCCUGAAAAACAGUGGCGGGCUCGCUGUCACACCGAGCGUAGUAGCAUACAUUCUCGCUCAGGGCGUGCUGCGGGUUCCGGCCGUUAAACGACCUUCAUAACCCAAGGUUGACCUCGGGUCAGGUAGGAAGAUCCGCUGAACUUAAGC